GGAGGCCCUCUUGGUUCCUCGCAAUGAUGUUCGGUUUAUUAGGUCAGGUUCGGAAGAAAGCAGCCGGAGUCGAGAUUUUCGUGUGCCGAGAUCAAGCUGGGAGGGUCUCCACCCAACU
rnacentral:SRP_RNA from 1 species